rnacentral:rRNA from 1 species
GACAACUNACAUUAUUUCAUCCGCCCGGGAACUACGAGCCGCAGCUUAAAACCCAAAGGACUUGGCGGUGCCCCAAACCCACCUAGAGGAGCCUGUUCUAUAAUCGAUACCCCCCGCUUAACCUCACCACCCCUCGCCAGCAGCCUAUAUACCACCGUCGCCAGCCCACCUCAUGAGAGAAAACAAGUAGGCAUAAUGGUAACCACCAAAACGUCAGGUCAAGGUGUAGCCUAUGGGGCGGAAAGCAAUGGGCUACACUUUCUACACAGAAAACUACGGAAGACUAUUGUGAAACCUAGUCUGAAGGCGGAUUUAGUAGUAAAAAGAUUCAAGAGUGUUCUUUUUAAUCUGGCCCUGGGGCGCGCA